GAAAUGCGAUAAGUAGUGUGAAUUGCAGAAUUCAGUGAAUCAUCGAAUCUUUGAACGCACAUUGCGCCCCUUGGUAUUCCAUGGGGCAUGCCUGUUCGAGCGUCAUUUGUACCCUCAAGCUCUGCUUGGUGUUGGGUGUUUGUCCCGUCUCCGCGCGUGGACUCGCCCCAAAGUGAUUGGCAGCCGGCGUACUGGUCCCGGAGCGCAGCACAUGUCGCGCAAACGAGUGCCUUGGUACGGCGGCGUCCAUAAGCCCCUCUCUCGCGCUCUUGACCUCGGAUCAGGUAGGGAUACCCGCUGAACUUAAGC
rnacentral:misc_RNA from 1 species